rnacentral:rRNA from 1 species
CAAUAGCGUAUAUUAACGUUGUUGCAGUUAAAAAGCUCGUAGUUGGAUUUCUGGAGGGAGCGUCGGCCCGUAUUUACGAGUGCGUGACGUCUCUGUCCAUCCUUGCGGGAAGGCACGGCAUUGAUUUGUUGUGUCGGAUCGCAUCAUUUACUGUGAAAAAAUUAGAGUGUUCAAAGCAGGCUUUCGCUUGAAUACAUUAGCAUGGAAUAAUAAGAUAGGACUUUGGUGCUAUUUUGUUGGUUGAGCCUAAAGCAAUGAUUAAUAGGGAUAGUUGGGGGCACCUGUAUUGCGUUGUCAGAGGUGAAAUUCUUGGAUUUACGCAAGACAAACAGCUGCGAAAGCGUCUGCCAAGGAUGUUUUCAUUAA